GGGUAACUCUGGGUGAAUGGGGGGGGGGUCUACAGUACUUACAAGAGCUGUUUGGAAACAGCAACAAAGACUCUCCAGCCCUGCCCUUAACCCCGUUUUAAUGAGCGUAACCUUAGAGGUUCCUUUGUAACGCCUCUAUCGGACGGGCCUGCCCCCUAAGAGCUCCGGAGAGCAGGGGUGCUAUAAAAGUGCUUCGGCUCUGUCCAGUCAAGCUUCAGACUGUCGUGGGAGAACGUGCAGACACCCGAGUGUUGUCCUCCCUCACCAGCAGGCUUUAAUCUCCAUCGAAAUGCUAUCAAGGACUCUGAUUUGCGCUUUGAUAUUUGCUGUAGCAGGUGUCCUUUCAGCACCCGUCCACGAUAACGCAACGGCUGUCCAUGAUCACAGUCAUGGAGGCCACACUACAGACAGCCCCGACACUGGAGACUUGGGAACCACAGACGGCGUAGACUCGACGGAGGAGACUGGAGGUGCAGUGGACUCCUCCAGCGAAACCACUGAGAAACCAGACACAAGUGUGGAAGACACAACCAGCGAUUCGGACUCGAAAGACGUUUCUGACAGUGACUCUGACAGCCAAGACUCAGACGUAAAAGAUGGAGAAGAAUCUGAUUCAUCAAAGGAAAGCAAAGAGGCCAACAAUUCAGACAAAACUGAAUCAAAAUCUGAUGAGGACACCAAAGAAAAACACGACUCGGAUUCUGACAAAGACAGCAGCGAUGAUUCCGAUGACAAAGACUCCGACGAACAGCAGGACGCAUCCAACAGUAAGGGCUCUCAAAGUGACGAAACUCCAAAGGAGGAAGACAAAUCGGACUCAGACAGCAGCAGCAAAGAAACGUCCGCGGACAAGGACUCGGACAGCGAUCAAGACUCAUCAGACAAGAAAGACUCUGACAGUAAGGAGGACACCAGAGAAAAAGACAAAGAUUCAGACAGCGACUCGUCUGACAAAUCGGAGUCGGACUCUGACAGUAAGGAGAACGCCGCCGACCACUCAGACAGUGACAGCAAACAAGACUCGAGUGACAGCAAGGACAGCAAAGAGGACCACUCCGACUCUGACUCAGCAGACAAAGACACUUCCAGCGAACAGGACACCACGGACAGUAAGAGCAGUGAGGCCUCAGAUGACAGAGAUGACAAGAAGGACUCCGAAGACAGCUCAGACUCAGAUAGCAAAGAGGACAAGGUGGACAACAGCAAAGACAAAGACGACAGCAGCAGUGACAAGGACAGCGACAGCAACAGCAAGCAAGACGCAGGAGACGAGCCGGACACCACCAGCGAGGAAGAUUCAGCAGAUAAAGACCACAAGGACAAAGAAUCUGACAGUGACACAGAAUCCAAGGACAGCGAUGACAGUGAUAGUGACAGUAAGGAGAAGAAAGAAGAAAAGGACAGCAAGGACGAAGACAGCGAUGAGGACGACAACGCAAAAGGGGACAAAUCAGAAAGCGAUGAGGGAACCAACGCUGGUAGUCAGGAGGCGGGUGAUGAGGGGGACAAGAGCAGCGAGGAAGGCGGGGACGGAAAGACUGCAGUGAUGCAAGGAGACGGCACCCGAGCUGACAGUGAGGACAGCCAUGACACGACUGAGGAGAACGAUGGCAGUCAGAAGGACAGUGAGAGCCUGGAGAAGGACGCCGAAGAAAGUCCAAGCGAUUCAGCCGGAGACUCAGAGACCCCUGACUCAAAAGACUCAGCCGAUGCAGAUUCCAAUGACACCAGCCACACAGAGGAGUCCGAGAGCACAUCCGAGUCCAUCUCAAAAGAGGACAGCACGGAGAAGAGCACCGAGACAGACUCCUCAGAGAUCAACCCGACCCCUGGGAGCGAGGACGUCUCUGACGCUAUCACUGCCGAUACCACAGGACACGCAAAUCUACCAGACGACACAACACACGGUGCCGGUAUCUUAACCCCAAAUCAGGCUUCUUAGCAUUCUGGUGUGGGCCAGAACGCUAAAGUGGAAUCAGUUCCACAGAAAUGACAAAACACAAAGAAAUUCAAUGAUGCAGGUGGAGUGACAUUUUGGAUGGAACGAGACGCAUGAGACUUGACCUUGACUUCUUUUUAGCCCUCCCCUAAAAUUUAUGAACAUGCCUUUUGUAGGGUAAAAAUGUGCAAAUUAAAUUAUUCUUCCCUGUACAAAAACAAAAAAAACGUGAUUUACCCGCAAUAUUCAGUGUGAUCAACAUUGCGAAGUUUUAAAUUUAUUGGUCCAUUUGUGCAAUGCUUAUUUAAUUUGCAAAAAAAAAGUUAUGCCCACACCUGAAGUCCUGUCUCCCAAAUGUCCUUUUUCCUAAUUUUUGUCUUGAACGGGUCUCUCUCCGUGGUUCUUUGGGGUGUCUUUAGAUAUGAGUCUCAAACGUGCAGGUUGUGGGGUUUCCUCUGUUCUAUGCUUCUGCAACUCCGCUGCCUUAACGGCAGCACACUUUAUGUCUGGCAGAUAACAGCUCCUACACUCUUCACCAACUCUGGCUCUCGGAUAAGCAUUCGCGUGCUUAAAAUGCUGUUAUGGUUUUCUAUAAGAACGAAGUGUACAGACGUUGCGUGGGACAGUUCUUCGAGUCGACUCUAACGAGGUUGUGACUAAUUUUCUAGAGAUGUAAGAGCAGAGCAGGAGAAUUGCUGUAAUAACAGAGAUGUGUAGAUAUCAAUAAUGUAAUUUUAAUAUGUACACAGGGAGCAAACUGAAUAAAGAAUAAAGUGGUCAUGAAACA
ensembl:lncRNA clumping factor A-like